AUGGCAGCGCGAUGCCACGUCUCUCUCCAUCUCUCUCUCCCUGCGGCACAGAUACUGUAACACUGAGCCUUGGCUGGCUGGUGUCCUCAACAUGCAUGAUAACUGAGUGUCUCUCUGUGUUUGUGUCUCUGACACCAGGGGGCUUUAAAGGGGCCAGAAGAAUCCCAGCCCCAUUCGCAGAAGCUGAUACAAUCCACCCCAAAGUGUCUCUUUUUCUCUAGCAGGCCUUUGAAGUGGGGUGAUGAGGUAUGCAUGUCAACAGCCUGUCUCUGCAGUGCAGGUUUUGACGGAUAUGCGAUGUGCAGGAUUCCUGCUGUUCCAGCCGCAGUGUCUCUACCCGCCGGAUGCCCGAAGAUGUGUGUGAGAA